UGUAUUAAGCUACAGCAUCUAACAAAAUAAUCAUUGUUAAUUAAAGCACUAAAACAUUAUAUGUAUGCACUAAUCUAAAGCAGUAAAACUAUUAUCAUGCAUUAAGCUAAAGAACCAAACACAAAAAUAGUGUAGACAUAUAUCUAUAUUAAGAAGAGAAAACUUUUGGAUCCACCAGUUCCAUACUUUAGAACCUGAUGGUCUCAAAGAAAAAGAUGAGAAAAGGUACACUAAAGAUAAAGAAUAAGUUUAUAAUUUGACAUAGUCGUUCAUAUCUCUGUGAUAUUGGCCAAUGGAACGUUUAAAACUGACACUACUGAUAUAUUUAUAAAAGAGGAACUUUAUCAAAUUGAUUUAUUGAGCAUCAAAAUUAAACGUACAAUGAGCUGUAAAAGUUCCUACAUCCGAUUUCACCUGGAGAGUUGCACGUCCAAUAAAGCUGGUUUCCCCAGUGAAAUAUUGCAUUUAUUUUUAUCGCAUUUUGAUAUUUAUAUACUGAACAGUAU
rnacentral:lncRNA from 1 species